UCAGAAGCCUGAGCUCUACGCGAGGCUCUGCAUGGCACCGUGGGAGCCCACGUGUCCAGAACUAGACCCACGCAGGAGGACAAACACACGGUCCUCCGACGCUUUGCUAGCAUUUGCUUUGCCUCCAGGUUGUCAGCCUGGUCCGGCCUCAGCUCGGCACGUGUUGCCGAGCGGAGUCCCCGGCGGAGCAGCUAGCCGCGGAGCUAGGUUCCUUUGGCACAGCAGCAGAGCAUGGGGGUUCUGGGGAAGCUUCCUGCAGUCGGCCUUACCUGCAUUUCCUCCGCCUGGCUGAAUGAAACCUCCGCUCGACCAGUUCUCUUCUCCUCCUGGACCUCCCUUUGACUUUCUGUGCAGCUGUUCAGCCCUGCUUCAAAACAGCAGAUGCUCAGAUGUGUCUGCUGCUUUAACCUUGUAGAGCAUCGGAUGGAGACUUUAAUCUGACGUGGCGUUCGCUUGUCCUUUCUGAGAUAGGCCACAUUUGUACAAAUGUCAAGGAUUUAUACAUCUCCAAAGCAAUACCUCCUCUGGAGAAAUCACAUCACAAUCUUUUUUUUCCCAGCUCUGAAUAUAAACCCCCUUGUCCAGAGACUGUUAAGAAAAUGACUGCGAGGAAGUGGUCACAGGAAGCCGAAGAAGCCCUUGGAGCUGCGUCUCGAAGGCGGCGUGAGGCCCACCCAGGCGUUUGGCACAGCUGAAUGUUUGCCUCAGGAGAAUAAAGCGUUUCUCAAACAUGCGUGAAAGAAUCAAAGCAACACUCAGGUUAAUUUCUUGAUGAAGGAAUGACAUUAUAGCAUGGUUUUACAUAACACUGUCCCUUCAGAAGCUCCAUUUUGUGUUUACUUGUGUUGUCUAUGAUUAAUCUUUAAAUUGGUUUGAUGUUCUGAAACAAUGAAGCGUGUAAAAAGAACAUGCAAAACAAAAUGGAAGUCAGCGCAUGCAUGUCCCAAUACAAACAUUAUAAACAUCCAUUUGGA